rnacentral:rRNA from 1 species
UACGGAGGGAGCUAGCGUUAUUCGGAAUUACUGGGCGUAAAGCGCACGUAGGCGGCUUUGUAAGUAAGAGGUGAAAGCCCGGGGCUCAACUCCGGAACUGCCUUUAAGACUGCAUCGCUUGAAUCCAGGAGAGGUGAGUGGAAUUCCGAGUGUAGAGGUGAAAUUCGUAGAUAUUCGGAAGAACACCAGUGGCGAAGGCGGCUCACUGGACUGGUAUUGACGCUGAGGUGCGAAAGCGUGGGGAGCAAACAGG